AUUACACCAACAUCCUAACAAGUGAUAUAACCCCAAAAUCUAAUUGGAUGAUGGCCACAUACCAAUGCUAGAAACUAAGUAAUAAUGCAAGAUUUUUACCUUAAUAAUAUUUGCUAAGGGUUCGAGAUUGAUUUAACAAGACAAGCAUGAAAGCCACUAACCAAAGUCAUAUGUUAGAUAGUAUAUUAUACCUCCUUAAAAGACAUAA
rnacentral:lncRNA from 1 species